AGUCUUAUAAAUAUCUCAAAAACUUAAUCAUACCUACAAUGCUCCCAAAACCUGGUGAGACUGAGUCAUAAGCUCUACAGAAUAUUCUAAAACACCUAAUACAACACUGUCUAAUAAAAGAAACAAUAAUACUGAAAAGCUAAUGGAAUGUGACUCCGAGAUCUAUGGACGCCGAGCAGAUAUACCUUGAUGUAUAUGAGAAACAACUACAAAUCAAGCACUAAUGUCCAGCACGGGAAGACGUACCUGGAUCUGCACAAAAAUAUUUGCAGAAGCGUAGUAUGAGUACACCACAACGAUAUCCAGUAAGUAUCAAGCCUAACCUCGGUAGAGUAGUGACGAGGCUAGGUCAAGACACCUACUAGGACAUGAAUAACAGAGAAAAAUUAUAAUAACAAGGAGUAAUGGAAAACAGAGAAAUAAAUGUUGACGAAGCAAGUUAAUAACGUAGACUAAUGAUAGUAUUGUAAGCAUAAAGAUAACAAGAAAGAAGCAAACAAUGAGAACUACAACAGUCAAAUACCGACAAAACUGAUAAGACAAGGAAGAAUAAAAGCAACAAGAACUAUUCAACCAAUAACUUGUUUCAACAUGAAAUGCACAACAAGAAUCACAACCGAGGUACCACCUUGUAUUCACUUUUCACAAUUUCAAUCACAAUAUUUCCUUAUAUCACUGCAGGAGACUUACAUUUAGUUUUAAAGAUCAUUUUUCCCGAAAUAUCUACCCACAUUUUAGCCCACUUUAUUACACCGCACGGCUUCAAGUAGUUCUCCUACUAGCAACACACGUAUCAAGCCCACCUUAUCUCACCGCAUAUGUAUCAACCCCUAGCCUUAUACCACCGCAUGCGUAUCAAUAUAGCAACAUAAUCACAAAUCACACCUCAAGUACCCAAAUUCCACCACUUGCCAAAAGAAUCAACAAUAUCAAUGUUUCCACAACAAAUAACCCAUGGCGCAACCACAAUGUGCACAAGAAUUUCAACAAUAACAAAAUAAAUGUAAAUUUUUCAACAAAAAAAGUAUCUCAAUAAUUAACAACUUCACCUCAACGUGAUAACGGUUUUCAUAACUUAAACACCAAUAAUUUAAGAAGAAUAUAUUCCAUGAAUAACUACUUCAAGUAAGUAAUUCAACAAUUAAAGAAGCAACAUGAAAAUAAAGAAGGAAAUAACUUCAACUAAAGCAUAUAAAAGCACAUUAGCAUGUAAGAGGUGAAACAAGGGUUAACAAUGUCAAAUAAAGCACGUAAGGGUAGAUUAACACAUGUAAAGGUAGAUUAACAAUGAAAGAUGUAACAUGUUAUGACAACUGGAAAAGAGUCUAAAUGUCUUAAACCAAUCAAAUACAAAAUAUAGCCCGUAUACCAACUCAUCACUUUCCGUGCAUGACUUUCACAUAACAUAAUCUGCACAAACAAACCAAUUCCUAAGGGGUAGUUUUUCCACACAAAGUUAGGAAAGAUACUUACCUCAACUAGGCCAAGUCAACCCUCAAAAAUAGAUUUUCCCCUAAAAUUCGCCUCCUCAUGGCUCAAAUCUAACCAAGAUUGACUUAAUAUCAUCAAACAAUGCAAGAAAAAAUAAUUACAAUAGAUAAAGUUGUGAUCUUUGUAAAAUUUUCAAAAAGUCAACAAAAGUCAACCCGGGCCCGCCCGGUCAAAAGUCGGGUCCAACGGUAGAUUCCUACAACCUAUAACCCAUGAGUCCAUAUAUGUGAUUAGUUUUCAAAUCCGAGUCCAAAUCAACUCUCGAAACUCAAUUUCUCAUUUUCUUAAACUUAGGCAAAAUUUCACAAUUUUUCACUUUGAUUCACAUGAAUUUGACGUUUAAUCUAAGAUAUUUUAAUGAAAUAUGAUUGAAAAUUGAUUAGAAUCACUUACCCUAUGUUUGUAGGUGAAUUUCCCCUCUCCAAAUCACCUCAUACCGAGUAUAGGGUUCUAAAAUUGAGAAAUGAGAUAAAAUCCGGACUUCCCAACUGCAGAUGUCGCAUUUGCGACACAAGAUUUGCAUUUGAGAACCCUCGCAAUUGCGAAACAGGGAUCACAUUUGCGAACCCUAACAGCCAGGUUCAUUUCAUGGUUUCCUUACUACAUGGAUCAAUGAAGAACAAUCUUCCUAACAUACUUAAAAGGUUCGUUGCAUGGUUUCCUUAUUUAUCGAAUCAUUACAGAGAACCCAUAAGGGUUAUUCUAUUAUAACUACAUAAGCAGGAUGCUAAUAAGAAUCAACAGGUCAACAUAAAGGUAGGAACUAAACCAAAUAGCAGAGCAUUACAGAUUUUAAGAUGAUUUAGUGUUAGCAAGUGUUAAUAGUACUCUCAAGAAGAGCUUAAGUAAUUUUAGAACUAGUUACUUAACUAACAUGUUACAUAAAACAUAGGAUAAAGCCUUAACUGAGUAUGGGAAUAAUAGUUAUUCACAGAUUGCGGGAUAUAUAGAACAAGCAGGUUAUCACAUUUAUCGUCUAAGACUGUUAAGGUAGAAAGUAUGAAUGCAAGUCAUAAACACACAAGGAAUCUACUUAUAAGACCGAUACGAGGUCUUAAGUAAGAGGGUCAGAUAAUCUAGAGGUGCGAAAACAUAAAAAUAAGUUUAGGAGCAUGAUUUCCAUUAGCUUAGCUGCCCUAACAAUAUUGUUUAAUUAAUAGAGGUAAACUACAUAAAAUUAGCACAAAGAUUUACUUAACUUAAUCAUAGAGGUUCAGUGAGGCAAAAUCAUUAGAAUACUACUUAGUUGGAGUCAUUUUUACUAAUUGAAUCAUGAAAGAUAAGGUUAAAUUAUACAAAUUCGAUAACAACAUCAAUAUAGCAUAUCUUAACAAGAAAGUGUCUAAGUUAAAGUGGAAAUCUCAUGCAAAGACUGGUCAUAACAAACACAAUUUCAUACCAUCAACAACUAACAUAAAUGAUAGAAAAUCAGUUAAGAAAUCACCAGAACACAGAACCAUACGACUAACUCAAAGUAAAAGAGAGCGGUCAAGAGGCACUGACCUUCUGCAGGGCAACAAACCAAGUAGAGGCAAUUCAACAGACGUUUAAGGAUCCAAACUCAAGUCUAACAAUAGCUGAACUCACAUCGGAGAAUGAAAGAGAAAGGAAACAGAAAAAUCAGAGAGUAUUACUGGACUAGUGAGAAAAAUCUCAAAUUUUAAUCCUUUUCUUUUAUUUUGUAUUUCUGAUAGUAUUAAAUGCCUGUUAGGUGAAGAUAUUUAAUACCCCUUUUAUAGUUGCAUUCAAGCCUUAGGUUCCGAUUGAUUUGAAAUUGGUAGUAGAAUGUGACGACACUCGAGUGAUGAUAGCAAAUAGAGGUGAAAUUGGUGAAGAACGUAGAAAAAAAUAACAUGGAUUUACUUGGGCUCGAGGAUAUGGCCAUUGAAGGCGAAGACCCAUCAGACAAAAUCCCAACAUCCAGAGGUCACUAUAUUUGCCCUCUAGGCAAAGAAUAUGAUAAUGGAGUCAAAGACACGGUCAUGCAUGCCAUAGAUUUGAAAGAACGAUGGGAGAACAGAUGGUUCACAGUAGCACGAUUUAGGUCUAGGGUUUAGAUCAGGGCUUUUGAAGUUUGGUUAUAAAGAUGGAAGUACGGGGUUUGAAUCUGUAACCUUGCAUAAAUUUGUAUGAGGAUUUGUGAUUGACGGGGUUGAUGGGGAUGAGAGAAAAGAGAGAGAAUUGGGAAAGAGAGGCAGCUAGGUGGGGUUGAGAAUGAAUGAGGGUUUCAGCGUCUCUAAGGUUUAAAGUGCAUUAAUGAAUCUGGGUCGUUAGAUCGUUCGAUCAACAACCCUGAUAUUUUAGAGUAUAAAAUUAAUAAAAGUUUUAUUAUGAG
rnacentral:lncRNA from 1 species